rnacentral:rRNA from 1 species
GAUGAACGCUGGCGGCGUGCCUAAUACAUGCAAGUCGAGCGGACGGACGAGAAUCUUGCUUCUCUCAUGUUAGCGGCGGGCGGGUGAGUAACACGUGGAUAACCUCCCUAUAAUACUGGGAUAACUUCGGGAAACCGUAGCUUAUACCGUAUAAUAUUUUGCAGCGCAUGGUUCGAAAGUGAAAGACGGUCUUGCUGUCACUUAUCGCUGGAUAUGAGCUGCAUUGGCUAGUUGGUAAGGUAACGGCCUACCAAGGCAACGAUGCAUGAACGACCUGACAGGGUGAUAGGCGACAUUGGAGCGGAGACAGGGUCCAGACUACUACGGGACGCAGCAGUAGGGAAUCUGCGGCAAUGGGCGAAAGCCUGACGGAGCAACGCCGCGUGAGAGACGAAGGCCUUCGGAGCGGAAAACCCUGUUAUUAGGGAAGAACAUAUGUGGAAGGAACUGUGGACAGCGUGACGGUACCUAAUCAGAAAGCAACGGCUAACUACGUG